UAGGAAUCUUCACAAUGGGCGCAAGCCUGAUGGAGCAACACCGCGUGAGUGAAGAAGGGUUUCGGCUCGUAAAGCUCUGUUGUUAAAGAAGAACACGUAUGAGAGUAACUGUUCAUACGUUGACGGUAUUUAACCAGAAAGUCACGGCUAACUACGUGCCAACAGCCGCGGUAAUACGUAGGUGGCAAGCGUUAUCCGGAUUUAUUGGGCGUAAAGAGAGUGCAGGCGGUUUUCUAAGUCUGAUGUGAAAGCCUUCGGCUUAACCGGAGAAGUGCAUCGGAAACUGGAUAACUUGAGUGCAGAAGAGGGUAGUGGAACUCCAUGUGUAGCGGUGGAAUGCGUAGAUAUAUGGAAGAACACCAGUGGCGAAGGCGGCUACCUGGUCUGCAACUGACGCUGAGACUCGAAAGCAUGGGUAGCGAACAGGAUUAGAUACCCUGGUAG
rnacentral:rRNA from 1 species